AAUGAACGUUGGCGGCGUGGAUUAGGCACGCAAGUCGAGCGAGAACCCGCAAGGGGGACAGCGGCAAACGGGGUAGUAACGGGUAGGCAACGUACCCUCGGGUCGGGGAUAGCCACGGGAAACUGUGGGUAAUACCCGAUAAUCUCUGCGGUGGUAAGUAUCGCAGAGCUAAGGUGUGAUUCCACCGGAGGAGCGGCCUGCUUCGUAUUAGCUUGUUGGUGAGGUAACGGCUCACCAAGGCGACGAUGCGUAGGGGGUGUGAGAGCAUGACUCCCACCACUGGGACUGAGAUACUGCCCAGACACCUACGGGUGGCUGCAGUCGAGAAUCUUCGGCAAUGGGCGCAAGCCUGACCGAGCGACGCCGCGUGUGGGAUGAAGGCCCUUGGGUUGUAAACCACUGUCAGAGGGGAUGAAAUGCACGAGAGCUAUCUCUUGUGUUUGACAUAGCCUCAGAGGAAGCACGGGCUAAGUUCGUGCCAGCCGCCGCAGUAA
rnacentral:rRNA from 1 species